GAGGUCUCCUGAGCACCCCCACCCAGGCCCUUCCUACUUGACAGCCUCAGUCUUGUCCCUGCCUUCUUGAGGUUAGAGCUAGAGCGUGCAUCUUCUCGAAGGGCGUGCCUUGUGUCACCCCCAGAGGUCCUGUCUGACCAAUUCAUGACCUCCCAGGCACUCUGAGGCCAAGGGUGAUGAGCUGCAAGGGCGGGGAUGUCUUAUGUGAGCACGGACCCAGGCUCCUGAACUCCCAAUCCUGCACCCGUUACUAAUAACAAUGACAGCUAUAAAGUAUCUCUAAAAUGGCAGCUUUGGGCUCAGUCUUUCAAAGGGUCGUCUCACUUAAACUUCACAGUGAUCCUAUUAUGUUGAUACCAUGAUUAUCCUAGUCAUAGAUGGCAGCUGUCUACUUGCUAGGGCCAUUGUUAGGGUUAAGUGAGAUAAUGCAGGUGCAUCAGUGCAGUCCCUGGCACAUAGUAAAUGCUCAAUAAGUGAAUUAUUACAACAGUGAUAGACAAGACAGAAUUUUCCUUAACAGUUACAGCCAUGUAUACUCCCACCAGCAAAAAACAAGAGUUCCAGGCGCCCCAUAUCCUAGCUGACAUGUUCAUCAAUAAGAGAAUAAAUAAAUUUUCAUCAAUAGGAUAAAUAAAUUCUGUUAUAUUUCUUUAAUGGAAUACUAUACUACAGCAAAAAGAUGAACUAGUGAAAUAUGCAGCAACAUGAAUGAAUCUCACACACAUUGUUGAGCACAAGAAGCCAGACACACUUAUUUAAAGUUUCCAUGUAUUUGAAGGUUAAGAAAAAGCAAAGUUAUAGUGACAGCAGUCAGAAUAAUCGUUACCUGUGGGGUUAGGGGUCAUGACCAGGAGGGUACCCAGAGAACCUGGGUAUUAGACGUGUUUUAUGUCUUGAUCUGGUGGUUAUGUAGCUGUGUGUGUACAUAAAAAUUCAUUGAGCUAUACACUUAUGAUUUGUGUACUUUACUGAAUGUAUCUUUUACUUCAAUAAAAAGUAAAAGAAUUAUUUUCUCAAAAAAACAUUCAAAAGAAAGCAAAGCAAGUCACAAUCCCUGCCUACUUGGGAGCUUCCCGUGUGGAGGGGAGGCAGUCGUACAGACUGGCAGUUGCAGUGUAGAGUGAUAAUGGCUGGGAUGGGCUGUGAAUUCAUGUGUGGAGGGGUGUGUCCCACCUCACCUUGGGGGACAGGAAGGCUGCAUGGAGGAAGCAGCCUCUAAGCCAGGAGGAUGAAUAAGUCGAGCAGAGGCAGCAGAAAAGCUGUGUCUGAGACAGUGGAAACAGCUUGCCCAGUCCUUCCUUGGAGAAGACAGGAUUCCAUCAGAGGUGGUGGACCAGCUGCUGUGGGAGGAGGGUAGCACCUUCCUUUUGCCUUGAGACUGGGAAAUUCCCCAACCUCUCUGUGCCUCAGUUUCCUCAUCUGUAAAAUGGGCAUGAUUCCAACUGUCCUCACCCCAGAAUGUUGCUGUGAUGUGUUGAUACCCUUAACGCAUUUACAGGAGUAUCUGGCACAGAGUAAGUGCUCAGUGUGUGUUAAUUAUUAUUAUUCAUAAAGAAAUUUGAGGGGUACUUGCGUAGCUUCAUGCAAGGUCCGGGCCCUGGUGGUGGAGGUGUAAGGACAGGGGCCAGGAUAUAAAGGUUAAGGAGAAGUAAGUGCAUGAGCACUGCAAUGGGGAAGUCCUUCCCAGACGGAUUCUUUAACAUGGGAUCCUCCUAGACAGCCCUCAGGGACCUGGGAAGCUGCCUGCUGACGGCGCAGGCUCACCGGUGGGCCUGUGUGUGCUUCCCUGGGCAGCUGGUGCAUAACUUUUACCGGCUCCCUGCUGCCGGGGAGGGUUGAUCGGGGAAGGUGUGGGCAGUGGCCGAGAGUGGAGCUGCCUGAGGCUUUGCUUUCAGGCCAACCUGGACAGCCGUGGCUGCCUGGGGGAGUGAGUGGAGGAGCCACGUGGGAACAGGAACUGGCCAAGCGGGCUGUGCCAGGGUGGGCUUUGAGGUAGGCAGGAUGAGUGGAACCAGGCUACCACAUUGAGUGACUGCAGCACAGCAGCAGGGAAUCCAGGUGUGGGGAAGCUCCAGGGCUUGGCUCCUGUCUUCCCUCAGCCGGGGAAGUCUGCACAGGCCGGCCAGGCCAGCCAGAGUCACGGGCCCAAUCCGUGCUCCCCCGGGCUCGGAUACUACUCAGACCGAGCCCACACUGCUGCGCAUCAACCCCAAGGUGGGAGGCUGGCAAACCAACAGGUGGUCCUUGCCCUAGCCUAACCCCCUCGUACACUGGGGAGCACGUUCCAUGCGCACUUCUUUAGACAGAAGGCUGUGAUCAAUUAUAAGUUCCAGGGACAAUUACACUUAAAUUGGCCUUUAAACUCAGUAUGUGACAGAGCAAUGAUGGCAGCUGUCAUUUGUGGAUCCUGUGCUGAGCUUGGGCUUGCAAGGAGCGGAGACUAAUGUGAAGACCCUUCCGGGAGCUGGAGUGUGUGAUGAGGUGGGGGGUGAGCGGGUAGAAAUACAGCAACAGGCAACCCCCCCCCCCAGUGUGGUCUGAGACACAGAGCGCUUUGUUCUGUGUCUGACCACCACAGCCCCAGCUUUACUGUAAAUCUCGUUUUGGGUUUUCUGAAGACAGGCACAGCUGCACGGCAGAGCAGGGCAGGGCGAGAGAAGGCCCCAGCCUCUCCCUUCUGGUCAGGGACCAAAGUUCUUCAAGCUCCACUCUCUGCCGUUUAAUGGGAGGAGGCUUGGCCAAUCAGAACACCACGUUCCUGGCUGUGUGAUUGGUUCAGGCACAGGCACAUGACCCAAGCUGGGCCAAUGACCAUCCUCAGGAGUUGCUAAGCUGCCUGGAAGUGGGCCUGGAGCCAAGGCCAUGGUGCCACACAAGUUGACCUUGGGAGGGAAGUCCUUCCUGGGGAGCAGAGCCGAAGGGGAGGGAGGCAGAUGUCUCAUCUGUUGAGGCCCUGGAGCCAGUCAAACCCAAGACUGGAUUACCAGAAACCUUCCAGAUACUGGAGCCAAUUAAUUAUCUUCCUGUAUUUAUUUAGCCAGUUAGGAUUGGGUUGCCGUGACUUGCAGCCAAGAGUCACAGGUGUCACAAGUGAGUCAAAGGGUGAGGAACUGUCAGGCUUCCUCCAGCGCAGCACAGGCCCAUUUGUGCCCACCGGUGAGCCCCCUGGUGUUGCCCAGACCCACGUGGGCCUCUCUGUCGGGUCCGUAGAUCCCCUGGCACACAGUUCUGGGCAUGCCAGGCCUGGGCAUGGGAGUGGGCAUCAGGGUCAUUGUCUCAGUUCCCUGGCAGCACCCCUCAGUUACAUAGGAAUUCUCUUAUGAACCAGCCUGGCAGCCUCAGGGGGGCCCCGUAUGCCUGCCCAGGGUCAAGCACGAGUGGGGUGGGUGGGCGUGGCCCUGCCCUCCAAGGAGCUCCCGGGAGCACCUCAGGCACUCUGCGCACGCCAACUAAGCAGGACUCACGCAGAGCACCCCUGGACAGAGGUCACAAACCGAUGCUGGCAGCCCGUGGAGUAUUAGUGAAAAUUUGCAUUCCUGUAUAUGCGAGGGUGUCUGGCUCACGGAACAGCGGGAUGAUUUGGCAAAGUUGAGCCCACAUUUGUGCAGAGCAAUGGCAAGAGGCUGCCCUUUUUGGGUGGAGCAGCUUCACCCUCUGUCUGUACUCCCGUAGCUAUCAGCCUGGUCUGCGUAGUUGUCUGACCUUGAGACCCCACCUAGGGAUUCAGAGCUGACCCAGAGCCUGCAUAUUAGAGUCCUAGAGGAGGGAGCAUUGGGAUUAAGUAAGCAGAAGAGGAGGAGGAAGAAGGCAUUGAGGAGGGGUUGGGGUGGGAGCAUCGCAGGAGUAGAGGCCUGAGCCUUUCCCAGAGCCCCACACAGGUCCGGGACGGCCAGGUUUGCCGAAUGGAUAAGUGCCUGGAUGAACAGGUGGGGCAAAGCUGAGAGCUGCAGAAAUCCUGUUCCCCACGGCAGUAGGCAGCCAAGGAGGCCGGGUGCGUGGCAUCAGGGGCACAUUCUUUUGCUGCUAGUAGGGAUACAAAGGAGACUCCACACUGGAGGCCAGGGCUCCACACCGCCCACCUUCCUGCCCCCUCUUCUCCUGUGCUCUGAGAGCCCCUCCACCUUCAACCUUCCACUGCAAAGUAUAUUUCCCACUUAAAUCUAUUUAUUUUAAAAGGAAAGCCAAUGGUCCCUACCCUAAAUGGAAAACCAGCCUCACCGGCCACAAAGGGAAGAGAAGUAUCACGGUGUUUGUGACUAAAGACAGAGCAGCGCGAGCAGAGGUUGCUGCCUGCCCAAGCUGUGAGCCUGAGGCCUGGUCUCUUUCUGUUUGGUGGAGGAGGUGGCUGUGUGAUGCCACUUACACAGUCCCCAGCACAGUCAGAUUCAGAGCCAGAAAGCUGAGUGGUGGGCCCAGGGCAGGGGAGUGGGGAGUUGCUGUUGAAUGGUCCAGAGUUUCAGUUUUGCAAGAUGAAAGUAGUUCCGUGGAUGGAUGAGCGCACUUGAUGUGGCCAAAGUGUGCAGCUAAAAAUGGUUAAGAUGGCAAAUUUUAUGUUCUGUAUAUUUCACCACAGUUUUUUAAAAAGGAGACAAGCAAAUAUUAGAGAGGUGUUCACUUCUCGGCUUCAAACUGAGACUUUCUCCUUGAUUAAGCAGAACAUUUGAAUGAGAAUUUAAAAAGGAACAACUCACAGCGUGAUGUGACAUUAUCUCAAAUUAAUACAUGAAGUUGCGUCCAUUGCCAGGGAAGGAUAAAUGACGGGUGGGGUGGAGGCAGCCAGAGGAGGGGCAGCCCCUCCGAAAUGAGGCUCUUGCAGGGGGGCGUCCUGUCUGGGGUGGGGGGCUCGGGAGUGGCUGUGGUGGGCAGCGAGUGCCUGCGGUGCCGUCCCCGUGCUAAAGAGAAGUACUUGGGUCCCAGCUCCGGCUGUCUCCCUGUGACCUGGGAAGUCACUUCCUCCCCGAGCACCUUGGCUGUCUCCUCUGGCCAAGGGGCUGAUGAGCGGGUGGAUGUGAGACUGAGGGGAGGGGCUGUGUGGGAGAGCACCUUGGGGGGUUCAGUGUGCUGGUCUCAGGGUGGCGGGUGGCUGUGUUUUCAGGGUCUGCUUCUUGGCACCCCCCAGGGAGUUCAUUCCUAGGUUCACUCUGGACUUCAACUUUUGGUGGUGGUUGGAGGGGGGAUCAAUGAGCUCAGCCCCUGUGUGUGGGGACAGCUGAUCAAGUUCCCCGUCUCACGUCUUUUGUGAUGCUGGAGAACAGGGACAUGGGUUAUGGUGCCGUUGUGCUGGGCCCCCCAGGUGCCCUGCACGCAGUCCAUGCUCAGUAAGCGGUGAAUGGUCACAGGGAUGACUUCUGUCCUAGGGGCGUGAAGUCCGAACCAAGCAUCCUGGCCCCAGAUGCUCACCCCCACUGGAGGAGAAAAGGAGCCCACUGGUUUUCACAAAACGGCAAGAGAAACGCAGGGGAGCAAAGCACCUAGCGGCAGGCGUCCCUGAUGCAGCUCAGGAAAAGGAGAGGGACGGGAAGUGAAGUCAAGGAAACUGUCUUUGUCAAGGUCACUACCAUGGUCUGAAUGUUUGUGUCGCUCCCAAAAUUCGUAUGUUUGAAAACCAAAUCCCCAGUGUGACGGUGUUAGGAGGUGAAGCCUUUGAGAGGCAAUUAGUGCCCUCAUAAAAGGGGGCCAAGAGAGCUUCCUCCUCCAUCCUGUCACGUGAGAACGCAGGGAGAGGAAGGCCACGUGUGAACUAGGAAGUGGCCCCCACCAGACACCAAAUCUGCUGGCACCUUGACCUUGGACUUCCCCGCCUCCGGAACUGGGAGAAGUAAAUUUCCGAUGCCUAUGAGCCACCCAGCCUGUGGUAUUACAGCAGCCCAGAUGGGUGAAGGCAGUCACCAGUGCCCUCCAUCUCGCCCUCUGUGCCCACCAUGAAGGGCACACACCAGGACGGGUGUCACCGCCCUCUCAGGAGUGUUGGGUGUGGUGGCCCACCCCUUCUUCUUGAAAACACCUCUCAUCUUGGCUUCAGUGAGAACACACUUCCUGACUUGCUUUCCCGUCCAGUCCCCCAAUGCGCCUUCUCAGUGCCUUGGCUCCUCCUCAUCUGUUUAGGGGGUGGAAUUCUGCAGAACUCUCCCUCCCACAGGCCCUGCUGUGUCCCGCCGGAGCCUCCGCCCGCCUACUUGACCUCUCCACCACCGGCUCCCAGGCAUCUCCAGCAUAAAACAUGCCCAAAGAUUGAACAAUAAAAAGUUCGUCAUAUCUGCUUCAUCGAGUCGGGGCUUUUUUUCUCAGCUGGAGUAUUCUAAGACCGAUCCCGAACAUGAUGGCAUCUCACUCUUACGCACUCGGGUGCGUGUCUCUGAGAGGCGUUUUCUCACGUAACCGCGGUGCCGGCAGCGGGCCUGACAUAGUGAGCUGUCACCGUGGCGGUGGCUGUUACCCAGUCUGAGGUCCGCUCUCCCAGUUGUCGCAAACGUGCCUUGAACGGUCCCCCUUGAGUCACAGCGCAGACAGGCCCCACGCGCCGCGUCUGGCCACCGUACCCUUUGUCUUGUUCUCUCUCGACGGCUCCUCUUCUGCACGUUUGCUGCAGAACCAGGUCAGUCCCUUGUGGAACCAUUUUGCCUUCCGCCUUUGUCCGUUUGCCUUUCCACGGAGCCGUUCCACCCCUUCCCGUCUUCCCUGCAACCCCUGCAGACGGAGCAAGCUCUAGGACACACACCUGCCUGUCGGUGAUGCUGUGUGUUCCUCUGUCAUUGCCUCCAGGGCCCGGGGCUUUCCGGCCGUCCUACCCUCAUGAGUGACAGUGGGGUCAGGUGGAGAGCAGCGGCCUCAUCCUUCCAUGGAAAAGUUCCCAUCAGCCUCUCGCCUAAUACUUUCAUCCAGUGGCCGUUGUUUCCUGAAUCAGUUAUUGAUUAGGGUUUGCAGAAAGGUGUGCAUUUUCUAUUUCCUGCAUUUCUUCCCCACUACAGGCACACUGGGGGGGCGGGGGGCAGCCCAUCCUGAUGCAGGCCACGAGGUGUGCACGGUCUGUGCAGAACUUGGAAACAACCACACGACAGACUGCGAGUCUUCUGCUUUUCUUCAUUACGGUGCCCUCGUGAUUCUAAACUACGUCAGUAAUGAAAUCCUCCCCCCACGAGAGCAGAGAGCCCCUGCUUCCCGCCUCC